rnacentral:rRNA from 1 species
GAUGAACGCUGGCGGCGUGCCUAAUACAUGCAAGUCGAGCGAACGGACGAGAAGCUUGCUUCUCUGAUGUUAGCGGCGGACGGGUGAGUAACACGUGGAUAACCCACCUAUAAGACUGGGAUAACUUCGGGAAACCGGAUCUAAUACCGGAUAAUAUUUUGAACCGCAUGGUUCAAUAGUGAAAGACGGUCUUGCUGUCACUUAUAGAUGCAUCCGCGCUGCUUUAGCUAGUUGGUAAGGUAACGGCUUACCAAGGCAACGAUGCAUAGCCGACCUGAGAGGGGGAUCGGCCACACGGGAACUGAGACACGGACAAGAGUCCUACGGGAGGCAGCAGUAGGGAAUCUUCCGCAGUGGGCGAAAGCAUGACGGAGCAACGCAGAGUGAGUGAUGAAGGUCUUCGGAUCGGAAAACCCUGUUAUUAGGGAAAAACAUCUGUGUAAGUAAAUGAGCAGAUAGUGACGGUACCUAAUCAGAAAGCCACGGCUAACUACGUG